CACGAUGAGGACCACGUCGCAUAGGAGACCGUUGCGACGCUGCUCGUUGAGGCUGCACAGGACAUCGCUGCUGUGAUUGGGGAAUGGGAUUCCGAUGCGGUCUUCCUCUCUGUGAUGGACCAUCCUCCGCUCUCUGGGCUACAAGUGAUGGCAGGGGAGGACAAGUGUGAUGACGACCAUAGGAGAGGAAGUGGAGCUUGUUGUCAAAUAGAAAUGACCCAACUAUUAUGACAUUCAAUGAGAGAUGUUGGUGGGGAUGCUAACGUGCUAACCGACACCGGCGGAGGCCAGGUGGGCGGAUCAAGGCGCGCGGCGAUGGGGUGGCAUGAGCGGGCCGAGCGAGGCCAUCCCACACAUAUGCUCAAUCUCGCUCCUCUCAGG